GAUGAACGCUGGCGGCGUGCCUAAUACAUGCAAGUCGAGCGAACGGACGAGAAGCUUGCUUCUCUGAUGUUAGCGGCGGACGGGUGAGUAACACGUGGAUAACCUACCUAUAAGACUGGGAUAACUUCGGGAAACCGGAGCUAAUACCGGAUAAUAUUUUGAACCGCAUGGUUCAAAAGUGAAAGACGGUCUUGCUGUCACUUAUAGAUGGAUCUGCGCUGCAUUAGCUAGUUGGUAAGGUAACGGCUUACCAAGGCAACGGUGCAUAGCCGACCUGAGAGGGUGAUCGGCCACACUGGAACUGAGACACGGUCCAGACUCCUACGGGAGGCAGCAGUAGGGAAUCUUCCGCAAUGGGCGAAAGCCUGACGGAGCAACGCCGCGUGAGUGAUGAAGGUCUUCGGAUCGUAAAACUCUGUUAUUAGGGAAGAACAUAUGUGUAAGUAACUGUGCACAUCUUGACGGUACCUAAUCAGAAAGCCACGGCUAACUACGUG
rnacentral:rRNA from 1 species